CGGGAGUUUGGAAGGUAUAAUGAUUGCCAUCCUGCAGCAUUUCCCUGUGUCAUGGCUCCGGUAUCCUAGCAACUGCAGCGAGUCGGGCCGGCAGCAGCAACAGCAGCCGCUUUCAGACGGAGCCAUUGAGGAGCAAGAGUCGCAGCAGCCUGGAAGCAGCCGCCGCAGCUCCGCGGGGCAGGAGACGCCGUCCGCCUCGAGCGGCCGCCGCAAUCGCAACCCCUAACAAAAGCCUCCGGGGAAGGCGGAGGGGGAGGGGAGGAGCGGCUGGAGCGGAGGGGCGACCCCGAAAUCCGGAGCGCCAGGCAGGAUGCGGGCUGGAGCGGCGGGCGACGCACUUUGCAGAAACUCCUUCUGCUCGCCGCGCCCGGCGGCCGCGGAUGCGACGAGGCUGAGCCGAGCGAGAGCUUCGCUGCUCUGACGGGGAUGGCUCCGAGUCGACGGGGGGCGGGCUGGAGGGGCCGCGGGGUCUUCGGCUCCCACCUGCCGGGCUGCAAAGUUUCUCUCGGAUUUCUCGCUGGGCUCCGAGGAACUUGCCUGCAGUUCUGACCUCCCCUCUCCCGCCCCCCGAUUUUCCCCGGUAAGAGACCAGACGGAGCUUGUGCGUUUGUUAAAUGCUGCCAUUUUGAACCAGAAACUCACCCGGGGAUUCUGCGGCUUCCCCCUUCCCCCCUCCCAAUCCCGCGCCCCCGGUCCGCUACCGAAGCGGGGCUGGGAGGCCAUCCCGCCUGGGCCACCAUGAUGGGUGGCUGUCGUGGCGGCUUCUCUCUUCUUGGGGGCACCAAAAGGGGAAAUGGCACCGUAGAGAAAUCGCCUUCGGGAGCUUCUAAAUUGAGGGGACAGACGAGUUGAGACGAUCUCCGGUUAAUGGGCGCCUGGCAGAUGGAAAGUGCCUGUAAAUGGAUGUCUCUUCGGCGGGAAGUUUUGUUCUGGGAACUCGGAACGAGGCGCCGGGCUCCCUUUUAACCGACCCCACGGCGAAAGCGAAAAUCUUCCGCAUGGCCACCUUUAACCCCCCAGGCUAUCCGUCAUGCCGGGAAUCUUCUUAGCUUCAUCUUUCGCAAAUCGCCCUCCAGAGGCACAGGCCACUUGGCUAAUUACAUUAUGUAGGACAGCAGAGCAGCAGGUAUGACAGCCAUAAUGUUUUAUUAGGCUCUCUCCCUGCAGGCACGUUUCGACUUGCAGCAGCCAGGAAACUAACUCUCUCCCAAGAACAAGCUGCUCUUUUGGGAAGGCUGGAUUAAAUUAUAUCCAGACGGACUUGGAAGGUGGCUUCCCACCCAACCACCUCCCGGUUUGGUUUUCUUUUCUACUCAUUCAUCCAUCCAUUGGGAAAGGCAAAGAAAAGUAGCCGGGAGUGGGCUUCUAGCUUGCAUGUACUCUGGUAGACCUUUUAGACUUGAAACGCUGCUGAAAUCCUGGAAAACGGCAUGAAACACCCUCUGGAAUUGCUUUGGUUAUGUAGCAGGGAGCCAAUGCUGCUGUAGGGAACCUUUUCCUGGAUAGCCAGCCAUGAUCGCCACUGGAGGCCUCUUGAGGAUCUCAGCCAGAAAACAGGAUCCCUUGCGGCCUCAGGGCCAAGUCUCCAAACACAAGCGCAAAGCAAAAAAAAAACUCAAGAAUGAUGUGGUGGUGGUGAAGGGCAAGCUCAAAAUCUGCUCCUUCUCUGGCCUCAUUGCUGUCUGUGGCAUUCUAGUGCUCCUUGUGGGGAUUGCCUUGGCUGUGGUUGGCUACUGGCCCAAACCCCUUUAUAGGACAGGGGGCCUUGUCCACAGUCCAUUAUUGCAAUCAUAUGGAAAUGCCCCUGAAAGCCACACCAAGAACCACACACAAGAAACCAGAGAAUCUUACCUAGAAGGCAUCAAUUCUUCUUUCUCUGGCAACCAGAAAGCACUUUCUCCAUCUUUGCCUGCCCCCUCAUCACCGUCAACAAAUUCGCUUUUCCAUCUUUUCUCUAGAUAUUUGCAUUCAGACAAGCUCAAAGUGCUUGGGCCCCUCAUCAUGGGUAUUGGCAUCUUCCUGUUCAUUUGUGCCAAUGCAGUGCUGCAUGAGAACCGUGACAAGAAGACUAAGGUUAUCAAUCUGAGGGACCUGUACUCCACUGUCAUAGAUGCACACAGUCUUCGGCCAAAGGAUGGGGCUCCCUCUACUGUGACCUCGGUCCCAAUAAAUGGUUUUGUUAACUGUGUGCAAUCUCGUGGGCUGGAGUUGAAACCUGGCAGUAGCUCAGGAGGAGAAACCUUAGGAGCCACUGCCAUGCUUACCAAGAAUAUCUGGCACCCAUCUGUGAGUGCACCCCUCUCCCCUCCUGACUUGGCUUCCUCACCUCGCUGCUUCCCCACUUCUAGACAAGAGCAAAUACCCAGCUUGGCUGAUGCCGUUUAUAGCAUCUAUAAAGAAAGAGCUGCAUUGGCCCAAAGCGCCCGUAACCCAUCUUGUACCCCCACAGAUAGUUGGGACCAGCACAGCACUGCCAGUUCCAUUGUGGGCUCCUCACUGAGCACCUUCACAUUGCUACCACUGGCUCAGGGGGAAAUGGCUGAUGGAGACUAUGGUGACUGGCAGAGGCUGCUGGGUGAACGUGAUGACCGAGAAAUUCCUCGGGGAGAAUUUGAACUUAGUCUAAAAGAUCUCAGAAGCAGCUACCUAGACACAGCGCAAGAACUGACAGUGUUGCCCAGGAUGAACAAGCGUAAAGUAGUGCUUCGACGCCAGAGCACAAGUUGCCUCCCUGAUUCCAGGAGAUCCCUGUUCCCUGAGCCCUCUCAGACAUUGGGUAGUAGCACUGACCUUGACUCCAGUCUUUUAGCUAAAGCUUCAUCUUCCAGCUACUCCAGAUCCCUCGAUUUGGGGGAUUCUCAUCUGCCUACACCAUCUGUGGAUCAGAAAGGUUCCCAGAGCACUCAGUGUGAUCAGUACAGAAGCAAUAAGGGCUACACUCCACUGGAGGAGUCGGGCACCUCCUUGGAGUCUGUUGCCAAUACCCCAGCCCAUAAAGCACCUGAAGACUGUGAAGUCAGCUCCAGUGAGGAAAUUGGCUCCUCACAGAGCACUAGCAAGGAACAAACAGAGCAGCAGCCUUUGAAAAUCCAGAGACAGUAUACAAAUAAAGAGAAACUUUUCAUGAUCUCCAGAUCAGAUGCCAUUGUUGGCCUGGAAGAUGCAGAUCUGGAAAACAUUGGCGUUUAAAAGUUGAAAUAAAUUGGAGACAAACAUCUAAGCAACUUGUAAUCCUUCUGCCCCUUGUGGAUCUAGGAAAUGGGCCAACAUCCAAAGAGCUGAACUAAUUUCAGCAUCACCAUGAAACCUGCUGCUAUCCAAAUGACUGUCAGUCAUCGUUAAUAGCUUAAUUUGAUUGGCCACUGCCAACAGAUAAAUGUUGUACUACGCUGUGAGUCAACCAGUAUCAAUCAGAACAAGAUGAGUCAGUGCCAUUGUAGUAAUUAUAAGCCCCUAUCAGCUUGCAGAUUCUUCAUACAUUACUUCUUGUUGGAUAUGUGAGAAGAUCUACAGAACACAAGGAAAAAAAUGGCCUCAUUUAUCUUGUACUAAGAAACAAAUGGAGAUCCAGUUUGGUAUAAUGGUUGAAGCACCAGGCUAGAAACCAGGAGACUUGAGUCCUAGCUGUACCUUAACUGGCCAGCUGGAUGACCUUUGCUCAGUCAUUCUCUCUCAGUCCAAGGAAGCAAGCAAUGGCAAGUCACUUCUGAAAAUCUUGCCAAGAAAACCACAAGGACUAGUCUAGCUGUCAUCAAGACUCAAAAUUGAUUUGAAGGCACAAAAAAAGCAUAGGAUUUCGUACCACAUUACUCUCAUUCAUUUUCCAAACAACAUAGAGGGUAAAAUAAAUGAUUAACCCUAACCCUUUUAAGUGUUUCCAGAAAAAAAGAUGAAAAAUUGAGAAUAUUUUUAAUUACACAAUUGCUUAUAUGUUAAUAAUGUAUUUGAUAAUUACGCCUUUAAAAUCAUCAAAUGUAUGCAAGUAAUACCAAAUAAAAACAAGUCUUAGGCAAAAAAAAAAUGCUCCCAACUUAUUGUGUUUGCUAAAGAAUGACAAAAGGCUGUAUCUGUCCUUUUGAAACAUAACUUCCAGCAAACAAUGACUCAGAGCUUCUGCCUGAGGCCUGCAGAUAAUGCUCAAGCUAAAAAUAUCUGGGCAAGGUAGGCUCUGCAAUCCUAUGCUGACUCCGAAAUAAUGCCAUUGAAUUUAAUGGGGUUGACUUGACAAGUAUGAAAUCAAAUGAUGAAUUAAAUAUUUUUUAUAUCUUUUCUGGGCAUGGACGAAUAUUUCCAGAUAGUAUAAUUACCCUUUUUGAAUAUAUUUGGAAAAUACUAAAGGAACCUUCAUCACGUGCAUUUAUGUCACAUCUUUUUAUUUUAGUAACUUAAAAGAGUCACUAUUUUUUAAGCUGACAGUGAACUGGUUAAUCAUUUGGAUGAUCAGAUGAAAGGUAAUGAAUAAGUCAAAAAGCUGGAAAGGGCCCUUUCAGUUCAACAUCUUUAAUGUAGGAAUCUAAUAAAUCUAUCCUGCUUCUGCUUGAAGUUAUUUAUUCAAUUAUUUGACCUUCCAUAAUCUACUAGGACUCCUGGCAGUUAAUGAAUUCACAUAACAUGAAAUAUCCAUGGUAAAUAUAAAUUAUAUAUGAAUUAAUAAAUAAUCCCCCAAACCCAUAUAAAAAAUGCGGACAGCAGCCACUAAAUCUACAAUCACUCUGGGAGAAUUCUAUCUUCAGCAUCUUCUGCAAGGAGCACUUUGAUGGGGCCAGGAUGCUGGAUGGGGUUGUCAGAAAUGAUGUUAGCUAGCGUUGAGAAGACCACAGAAUCACUUGGUUAAGUGGGCAGUCAUAGAAAUUGAAUAAUUGUUUUUUUAAAUAUAUAUAUAUUUCAAUCCUAGAAGUGUUUCUAGUCCAUUGGUAAACUGAAUAUUAGAACUCUUUCUUCUAAUCCAAUAGGGUUUUUUUGUUCAUAUCCUUUAAAAAGCCUUUAGUUUCUUUCUAUAUAUAUAUUGAAGCAUGGAACCUUUUAAUGAUAGCAUGCAUACCCUCAUAGAAAUUAACCUAUGAAUUGGCCACAGGGAAAGCAUUCAAAAAAUUACUUCAGUGACCUAAUUUUUAAUCUCUUACUAAUGAAAGAAUGCAUGGCUCAGUAUACAGCUUCAAGUGACCUACCCAGGGGCAUUUGAAGGGUCAUGGGAGUAAUUAAAUAGAGCUUAACAUAUUUGAGAGCGUUUCUUGAUUCAUAUUUUUCUCGGUGAGAAAAAUGCAUUUAUGAGAUUAGUAGGCUUUCUUAAAAAGAAAACAAUGGUUUCGAACCAUUUCAUUAAGACAAAAUAGAUCAAUAAAAUGACUUCUGUCAAACUAUAAUAUCAUUUUGGGGAAUAGCAUUUCAGAAGGACAUAUAAUGUUGUUCCAAAAUAUUGCUGGAAAUAAGUCCAGAAAUAACAUUAGCAAUGAAGAAAGAUAUAAGACAGUAGUAAAUGCUUACCUUUUCAUAUAAUGAAAAUGUCAUCAGUUUAUAC